rnacentral:rRNA from 1 species
UACGUAGGCAGCAAACGUUGUUCGGAAUUACUGGGCGUAAAGAGUGUGUAGGCGGCUUUGUUAGUCUGGUGUGAAAUCUCCCGGCUUAACUGGGAGGGUGCGCUAGAAACUGCAGAGCUAGAGUAUCGGAGAGGAAAGCGGAAUUCCUGGUGUAGCGGUGAAAUGCGUAGAUAUCAGGAGGAACACCGGUGGUGUAGACGGCUUUCUGGACGAUCACUGACGCUGAGACACGAAAGCGUGGGGAGCAAAC